rnacentral:rRNA from 1 species
AGCCGUUGGUAAGGAUCAAAGGUUAUACCUGCCCAAUGUUAUAUUAAUGGCCGCGGUACUUUGACCGUGCUAAGGUAGCACAAUCAAUUGGCCCUUAAUUAGGGUCAGGUAUGAAUGGAGUUACGGGGCCUAGCUGUCUCUAGACUAUUUAAUCGAAGUUGCUGUAUAGGUGAAAAAGCCUAUAUAAAGAAAAAAGACGAGAAGACCCUUAGAGUUUUACUUAAAAAAGAAUUAUUUCUUUAACAGUUUUGUUGGGGCAACAUGGGAGAAGGAUUAAACCUCCUAAAGUAUAUAAACCGAUAUUUUUAAAUGUGAAUAAACUACCUUAGGGAUAACAGCAUAAUUUUAAAAAUAAGUUUGUGACCUCGAUGUUGGACUAGGAAGCCUAAAGGCUAGCCGCCUUUUGGUAAGGUUCUGUUCGAACUACAAUUCCU